rnacentral:rRNA from 1 species
AGUGAACGCUGGCGGUAGGCCUAACACAUGCAAGUCGAACGGCAGCACAGUAAGAGCUUGCUCUUACGGGUGGCGAGUGGCGGACGGGUGAGGAAUACAUCGGAAUCUACUUUUUCGUGGGGGAUAACGUAGGGAAACUUACGCUAAUACCGCAUACGACCUACGGGUGAAAGCAGGGGAUCUUCGGACCUUGCGCGAUUGAAUGAGCCGAUGUCGGAUUAGCUAGUUGGCGGGGUAAAGGCCCACCAAGGCGACGAUCCGUAGCUGGUCUGAGAGGAUGAUCAGCCACACUGGAACUGAGACACGGUCCAGACUCCUACGGGAGGCAGCAGUGGGGAAUAUUGGAAAAUGGGCGCAAGCCUGAUCCAGCCAUACCGCGUGGGUGAAGAAGGCCUUCGGGUUGUAAAGCCCUUUUGUUGGGAAAGAAAAGCAGCAGGUUAAUACCCCGCUGUCCGGAGGGAACCAAAAGAAUAAGAACCGGCUAAUUCCGU